rnacentral:rRNA from 1 species
UACGUAGGCGGCUCUGCAAGUUGGGUGUGAAAGCCCGGGGCUCAACCCCGGAACUGCAUUCAAAACUGUGGGGCUAGAGAUCGGAAGAGGUAAGUGGAAUUCCCAGUGUAGAGGUGAAAUUCGUAGAUAUUGGGAAGAACACCGGUGGCGAAGGCGACUUACUGGUCCGAUACUGACGCUGAGGUACGAAAGCAUGGGGGAGCAAACA